UUCUGGACGUUGGCCAUUCUUAUUCUGAGAUGAGGUAGCUUCGCGCAUAUGCAGGUUCAACAACUCAUCAGUGAGGCACUUAGGCACAUUAGUAAGGCACACACUGAAGGAGUAAGACUUUUCGGAAGAUGGAGUGUAACAUGAGAUGAGAGAUGAUGAGCAAAGCUGAUCAACGUCAAACCACGUAGCUGAAGGACCUGCCAGGAGCAAACCAACUCAAGCUCGCGAUUCUGGGAAGUUGAAUGAAUGUUUUGGUUUCAGAUGUUAUUUUGAGUGGAUGAACAGAAGAGCACUAUGACUGCUGGAGCCCAGAAUGGCCGUGUUGUUCCCUACGAGAUCCUGGUGGAGAUCUUCUCGCAGCUGUCCUUCUCUGAUGUGCUGGCGGCCGGCCUGGUGUGCCGGCUGUGGCACGACGUCAGCAGUGCCGUCCUGCUGCGCUCGCGCAC